rnacentral:rRNA from 1 species
GUAGUGUCCUCGCAUGCUUUUGACGGGUAACGGGGAAUUAGGGUUCGACUCCGGAGAGGGAGCCUGAGAAACGGCUACCACAUCCAAAGAAGGCAGCAGGCGCACAAAUUACCCAAUCCCAACAUGGGGAGGUAGUGACAAGAAAUACUGAUAUAGGGUCCUAUAGGAUCUUGUAAUUGGAAUGAGUACAAUUUAAACCCACUAACGAGGAACAACUAGAGGGCAAGUCUGGUGCCAGCAGCCGCGGUAAUUCCAGCUCUAGUAGCAUACAUUAAAAUUGUUGCAGUUAAAACGCCCGUAGUUGAAGCUUAGGUCCUUAUCAUCUAGUCUGCCUCACCGCUAGCACUGGUAUGAUUGGGCCUUUUUUCUUGGUAAACUGUUAUGCCCUUUAUUGGGUGUGGCAGUGAACUAGGACUUUUACUUUGAAAAAAUUAGAGUGUUUAAAGCAGGCUUUUGCUCGAAUACCUUAGCAUGGAAUAAUGGAAUAUGACGAGUGGUUGUUUUUCAUUGGUUUUCACGACUACCGUAAUGAUUGAUAGG